CGUGUUUAUGCGCCGAGAGUAUCUUCACAUUAUUUAGACAUUAUAGCCCUAAAUAUGGAAGCUGUAUCUUUUAGCAAUGGUUCUCCAGCCAAAAGAAAAUCCAUUACCAUGGAAACGAAGCUCAAUAUCGUAAAAAGGCAAGAGAAAGGAGAGACAAAGACAAACAUCUUGGCUUCAGUCGGUCGACCGUGGUGACAAUUAUUCAAGACGUUUUAGCACAUGUGAAAGGUUCCAUUCCUAUCUCGGAUACAGUGAUCACAGAACAAUGUUUGUUGAUACUUGUCGAGGUGGAGACGUUACUUAUGUUAUGGAUUAAGGAUCAGAUUCCUUUGCAAUAGUUAAGCACAGCUUCCCUUUCUUGUUCUCCAUCCACCGCUCAGCAGUAAUGGUGCCAGUUCGUGUUAUGAGACUGCAUUAUUCUGCCACGUCAGAAUGCUGCCGUAUAUUGAUUUUUUCAUCUCCCGCCAUGAAAAAUCUCUCAAGGCUUUUGUGCUGAACAAGAACCAGGAAGUGACAUUUUUUGCAGACGCCUACAGUGGCGAGGUCGAGUAUUGUACCGGCGAGAAAUUAGCUGUUUUUCUGCAUGUUAGCCAAAAUGCUAGCUCGUCGUAUUGCUGGAUUUUGCUCAAACACUCGGGAGGAGGGAUUCACUCUCCACCCGGAUUUGUCAUGAAAAAUGGAUUGCAGAGGUGCAAAGGACAAGAGCUUUGUGGGUUCCA